GCUUGGUGGUGAUGGCCAUCACCUGCUGCCUCCUGGCAACUGCCCAGGCCACGCCUCACGGCAGUGGCAGCGAUCAGUCAGUCAGUCACUCAGUUGGUCAGUCUGUUGGUCAGUCGGUCUGUCAGUCAGUCUGUUGGUCAGUCGGUCUGUCAGUCAGUCUGUCAGUUGGUCGGUUGGUCUGUUGGUCAGUCUGUCAGUUGGAUGAUCGGUCUGUGACCUGGUCACUCAGUCUCUUGGUCGGUUGGUAGCCCUCAGCCAGUCGGUCCGUCAGUCCGGCCGGCUGCUCAGCGCUCUGUCUGUCGGUUGGUCUGUCUGUCGGUCAGUCAGUCCGUCGGUCUGGCCGGCCGCUCAGCGCUCUGUCGGUCUGUCUGUCGGUUGGUCGCUCUGUCUGUUGGUCGGUCUGUCUGUCGGUCGGUGCCUCAGUCGGUCGGUCCGUCAGUCGGUCGGUCAGUCCGUCAGUCGGUCGGUCGGUCCGGCCGCUCUGCGCUUUGUCUGUCGGUCGGUCGGUCCGUCGGUCGGUCGGUCGGUCGGUCCAGCCGCUCCGCGCUCUGUCUGUUGGUCGGUCCGUCGGUCGGUCGGUUGGUUGGUCGGUCGGUUGGUCGGUCAGUCGGUCCGUCGGUCGGUCCAUCGGUCGGUCUGUCUGUCGGUCGGUGCCUCAGUUGGUCGGUCGGUCCGUCGGUCCGGCCGGUCGCUCAGCGCUCUCUCUGUCUGUCUGUCGGUCGGUCGGUCGGUCCGGCCGCUCCGCGCUCUGUCUGUCGGUCCGUCGGUCGGUCGGUCGGUCCGGCCGCCCCGCGCUCUGUCUGUCUGUCGGUCGGCCGGUCCGUCGGUCGCUCUGUCGGUCGGUCGGUCGGUCCGUCGGUCGGUCCGUCGGUCCGGCCGCCCCGCGCUCUGUCUGUCGGUCGGUCCGUCGGUCGCUCUGUCUGUCGGUCGGUCCGUCGGUCGGUCCGUCGGUCGCUCUGUCUGUCGCUCUGUCUGUCGGUCGGUCGGUCCGUCGGUCCGGCCGCCCCGCGCUCUGUGGCGGGCGGGGCCCGCCGCGGCCGGUGCGCGGGGCGGCGCUGACAUCACGUCGUUA
rnacentral:lncRNA from 1 species